ACGUAGGGACCAAGCGUUGUUCGGAUUUACUGGGCGUAAAGGGCGCGUAGGCGGCAUGACAAGUCACUUGUGAAAUCUUCGGGCUUAACCCGGAACGGCCAAGUGAUACUGUCGCGCUAGAGUGCGGAAGGGGCAAUCGGAAUUCUCGGUGUAGCGGUGAAAUGCGUAGAUAUCAAGAGGAACACCUGAGGUGAAGACGGGUUGCUGGGCUGACACUGACGCUGAGGCGCGAAAGCUAGGGUAGCAGACGGGA
rnacentral:rRNA from 1 species